rnacentral:rRNA from 1 species
CCGGCGAUUUCCGAAUGGGGAAACCCAGUGUGUUUCGACACACUAUCAUUAACUGAAUCCAUAGGUUAAUGAGGCGAACCGGGGGAACUGAAACAUCUAAGUACCCCGAGGAAAAGAAAUCAACCGAGAUUCCCCCAGUAGCGGCGAGCGAACGGGGAGGAGCCCAGAGCCUGAAUCAGUGUGUGUGUUAGUGGAAGCGUCUGGAAAGGCGCGCGAUACAGGGUGACAGC